CACGGCACCACCAGGCUUCUGUAACUUAUAAAAUGGCGGCGUCCACAUGUAUACGUCCUUCCCGGGAUUAGCCAGGCAGCUAGAGGAUGACUUAAUAAGGAGAGUGGAGAAACUGGCCAAUUAAUGAACAUGCCCUGAUCAUUAAUCCACCACUGAAGGAAGUCAGAGCAGAAACUCAAGCAGGGACUUGAAGAAGAAACCAUGGAGGAAUACGGCUUGCUGGCUCACCUUUCAAGAUGUUCAACUUGGCUGCUCCAGCUACCAUGCCUGCUGCCUGCCACCUCCACUCUGUCAUGGAACUGUAAGCCCAAAUAAACUCUUUUUUUAUCUAAGUUGCCUUGGCCACGUUUUAUCACAAUAUCAGAAAAGUGACUGAUACACAGGGUUUCUUACUGAACCUGGAGCUGGCCAGCAAGCCUGUGGGAGCCAUCUGUUUCUAUCCAUGAGUGCUGCACUGUGCCGUCAUGCUCAGCUUCUAAAGAUGUGCUUGGGAUCUGAACUCAAGUCUUCAUGCAAGCACUUUGCCCAUUGAACUAUCUCCCCCAUCUCUCCCAUGGCUCUUGCUCUCCAUUAAGCAAUCUUUGCCAAAUUGGUCUACCCCCAGACUCAGAAGGAAGACCACUGAAGCCACCGCAGACAGCAGAACCUCAAUCAGCUUGAAAGAGAAUGGGCUCAACAAAAGAGCAAACUGUCAACAGUGAUGAUGAGGUGCAACAUUCAACUUCACAGUUCUUGGAAUCACAGACCUGGAGGAGUGGACUUCCUGGGAUGAAGAUGAGCCCACUAGUGCAUCGAAGGAGGGAAUGGGAUUGUGGCAACACAGCAGAACUCUUUGGAGCAACUGGAACCUGACUACUUCGAGGCCAUAACUCCAACUAUACAGAAAACUCAGAAAAUUGUCAUUAAGAAGAGAGAACCAUUGAAUUUUGGUGUCCCAGAUGGUAGCACAGGUUUUUCCAGUAGAUUGGCAGCUGCACAAGAUAGGCCUUUUAUUCAUCAGUCUUCAAAAUUAGGUGACUUAGAUACGUGGCAAGAAAAUACCAGUGCAUGGGAAGAGGAAGAAGACGCAGCCUGGCAAGCAGAAGAAGUCCUGAAGCAGCAGAAAAUUUCAGACGGAGAGAAGAGACAGCAGAACAACAAAGGAAGAAAACGGAGAAGGAAGCGCAACGCCCUAUAAAGAAGGAGCAAAGCAAAGUCUGUGUGAAGCUUUCCUAACAGGCUUUGUGAGUCUGGGCGCACAGCCUACACGCAAGCAUUUGCAUGCACUGGACAGUAUUCUCAGAAUACAAACACUCUGCUAGAUCUCAGUUUGUUAUUGAGCUAUCCAGGACACCAGGAUUCUCCCAUAAUACCUUGAACUAUUAGGAAUCAAGACUCAAAACACAAAAAUAAUGAGACAAUUAUUUUCUUCAAUGUGUUCCAAAUAGAAGACAAUUGUUUGCUGUAGAGAAGUUAUUUCAAGAGGAAUAUACCUGACAAGUACCUCUCAAGCUAGUGUUUCUAGAUGAACAAAGGGCUGUAAAUAAUUUUAUGGUGGAAAAGUACCCUGCUACUUACUAUGCUUUUGUUCAUUGUACAUAAUUAUAAAAUAAUUUUAAUGAUCAUUUGUUUCCAUGACCGCUUGAUGUAAAUUAGACAAACUGUAGGUAGGGCUUUAUACCCUUCUUAAUUUUGUUUUCAGGUACUGUUGACAUACAUUUUCUAUCAUUUGAACUGGCAUUGUUUGGUACAACAUUAAGGGAUAUGAUGAUUUGGGUUUUUAAGAAAAUAACAUUAAAUGCAAUAAUUUUAUUUAUCAAAAAAAAA
rnacentral:lncRNA from 1 species